AACCUGUCUUUGAAUCUGUACUUUGGUCUGAUGAGUCCAAAUUUUUAGUUUUUGUUUCUGCCCUCCACCAUGAAGCAUGGAGGAGGGGUGAUGGUGUGGUGGUGCUUUGCCGAUGACACUGAUGGUGGCAGAAAAACUUAACCAGCAUGGCUACCACAGCAUUCUGCAGCGACAUGCCAUCCCAUCUGCUUUGUGCUUAGUGAGAAGGAGAGUGAUGGAGUGCUGCGUCAGAUUGCCUGGCCUCCACAAUCACCCAUGCUCAGCACCUCUGGGAACUCCUUUAAGACUGUUAGAAAACCAUUCCAGGUGACCACCUCAUGAAGCUGAAGACUACUUUGAAGAAUCUAAAAUAUAAAACACAUUCUGGUAAAUCGUGAACACCUGAGGGCCCCAGUGUGCCGAUUACUUCAGCCUGGCAGUAGUGCAGUGUCUCGCUCUCUUCUUUCUCCCGUCAUCGCCCUUCAAGGAUGUGACUGAGGCCAUUUUGAGUUCUCCUUUGUUUUAUUUCCACACUUCAACACCUCUACAUACACCAUAUUUUCACUCAUUCACACCUAUCACUACUGACUUUACUGAUUUUCACACGACAUGCUUUGUUUUACAUUCUGUUUAGAUUCUUUGCCCAUCCUUUGUUAAAAAUAAAUUACUGUGUUAUACUUUCAA